rnacentral:rRNA from 1 species
AUUGAACGCUGGCGGCAGGCCUAACACAUGCAAGUCGAGCGGAGCGGCGGACGGGUGAGUAAUGCCUAGGAAUCGGCCAGGUAGUGGGGGAUAACGUCCGGAACCGGGCGCUAAUACCACAUACUAUCAGAAUAGCAUAGGUCGGAUUAGCUUGUUGGUGGGGUAAAGGCCAACCAAGGCGACGAUCCGUAACUGGUCUGAGAGGAUGAUCAGUCACACUGGAACUGAGACACGGUCCAGACUCCUACGGGAGGCAGCAGUGGGGAAUAUUGGACAAUGGGCGAAAGCCUGAUCCAGCCAUGCCGCGUGUGUGAAGAAGGUCUUCGGAUUGUAAAGCACUUUAAGUUGGGAGGCGUUACCAACAGAAGAAGCACCGGCUAACUCCGUGCCAGCAGCCGCGGUAAUAC